AUUCAGAUCAGGUGUGUACUCUCAGCACAACCUUGGGCAAUUAUCCCACCAUUCCCGCUGGAACAGCAAGGCUUUGGCUGCUCUGAUCAACUUUCCACCUGUGGAGCUGUGUGGUUCUGCAGCUUUAGUUAAGCUUAAAAAGACAAGCAAUGAGAUGGUUUUUACAUGCAAAUGCACCUUGCUUAACUUAGUAAAAGUAAGGCAAGGGAUUUUUUUUUAUACAGCUCUAAAGUGUUUUGUAAUUAUGAUUUUGUAUGCAAAGUUUUUGAUAGGUAAAGUAAUGGGGGGUAUGGGGGAAGGGAAAUCAUGUUCUAAAAAGAAAUACCAAAACAUCUUCCACUAGACCAGGCUGCACAAAGCCCCAUCCAACCUGGCCUUGAGCACUGCCAGGGAUAGGACCGACACAAUUUACUGAAAAAAAAAAAAAAAAAAGUGUUUCAUUCAGGCUUUAAGUCUUAUAAAUAAUUUUUAGAUCCUCAAGUGAAAAUCCAUAAUAACAUGUGAAAUAUUAACCUUGCCAGACAAUAUUUUAUUCUUCAACUAGUGAAUCACACCAGUAAACAAGUUCUCUCCUGGAUUCAAGAGGAAAUGCCUGGGAAAAAGAAAAGAUUAUUAAUGUGCUGUUGCUGUGCUCUUCAGCAUAAGGUCCUGGCAUCAGUGCCAUGGAAGCUGAGGAAGAACAUUUAAGGAACCCUCUGUGUUUCAGAAAUUCACUGCCCAUCUCUCUGUGAAAGGAUGAGUUUCUUGAGAGUUCUCCAGGGAUUCAGAAGAUGCUGCUCUUUGGCCCAGUGGCAUUAAUGGAGUGAGGAAGGAGAUCAGAAAGUGGCUUCAAGAGCUCAGCUUGCAAAGAGGCUGGGGAAGCUUUUCUUCAGGUCGCCGUGUCCCUGGAGCUGCCGAGGGGAGUGGGAAGGGCUGCUUUGAAAGCAGGAAAAAAGAGAGCAUCGUUUCCACGGGGAGCCUGUUUCCCGGGGGGAAGGAAGGUUUCCCGGCUGGAGCGGGCGCUGCGGGGCGGAGGAGAGGGGGCGGCUCCUCCGCCUGCCUCGGUGAGUGCUGCCUGCGGAAUCCCCAUCCCCAUCCUCAUCCUCAUCCCCAUCCCCAUCCCCAUCCUCGGGCAGAUCCUCACCCCCCUUCCCCCGGCCCGGCUGCCCCGGGCCCGGCUGCCGCUCCCCUCUAUUGCAGUCCUGAUCCCUCUGCCCCUUCAAACUCUGUCUCCCCUCGGGAAGGGUUCCCUCCUCUUCCUCCCCUCCUCCGGGACAGAUCCCCCCGCGGCAGGACCCGCAGCCUCUCCGGGCUGAUCCCGGGCUGAUGCGGGUGUGCUCCUCAGCAUCCUCGGCUCCUGGGGCUGGGGGUUCUGCUGCCCUGGGGCUCGGCGCUUUUGCCCCCGGAGCUUUGGGGGUCUGACCCCAGCAAGGCUGGAUUCGGCACCCCGGGGCUG
rnacentral:lncRNA from 1 species